AUUUAUUCUUAUAGAAGGGUUUUCUUUUUAAAUACAAGUCCUUUUCUAAUUAUGUAGGAAAAAAUAAAAUACUAAGCUUUUUUCUUUUGCAAUCUUCAUAGAACUCAUGAGAGACAAGCAGAGACCAGUAAGAAACUUCUUUUGGAGAAACAACAGAUCAGAUCUUUAUUCACAACUCAUGCUAGGAGGCCAGUCCUAGAGUUACCUUGUGUUGGAAAUCUUACCGAUAGUUUGAGUCGACAGAAUACUUAUUUUAGAAGAAAAAUUCAUGAUUUCUUCCUGAAGCCUAUGACAUAAAAUAACAGUGCGAAGAACUACUUGUUCAAGGUUAUAUAAUAGUGUAACAUUGCCAAGAAGUGGAUUAUCUCAUCUUCAUCCUGUAAUUCCAGUGUUUGUCACAUGGUUGUUGAAUAAAUGAAUAAAGAAUGAGAAAGCCAGAAGCUCUGAUACGUAGUCAUAAUGAUAAUUAUUUCAAUGCACAACUAUGGGUGAGUUAUAUUUAACAGCAAUUUUGUAUAAUAGUUAUAUAUACAUUUUUUUAUUCUCAGUAACACAGAGCAGGUUCUCAACUCUUUUCUGACUUCCACUUAGUUUACCAUAAAAACUUUUAGGUGAAGAACAUAAAUAUUUUUCUUUCCAGGUGGUGCUGAACUACAAUCUAUAUUUUCUGCAACUGGCUCCUCUAGGAUCUACUAAUGAUUUAAAUCUAAAAGAUGAAGUUAGUAAAGCAUCAGAAAAAAAGAGUCCAAGAGUCCAUACCAUGGGAACCGAUUCUUCAUCUUUUAAGAAUACCAUAUGGAUACUUAUAAAUGGGCAUGAAUUAAGCAACUGGGCCUUUCAACAAUUUUGGAGAAGGCCAUUUCACACUUUUAAAAUAAAUGUGCUCCCAUAAGAUCAGGUAUGUUUUAAUACUAAAAUAACAGUGCACAUGUAUAAAAUAAAACUUAGUGGUACCUCUCUCU
rnacentral:lncRNA from 1 species